AUACGGAGGAUCCGAGCGUUAUCCGGAUUUAUUGGGUUUAAAGGGUGCGCAGGCGGCCAUUUAAGUCAGCGGUUAAAUCGUGGGGCUCAACCCCAUCCUGCCGUUGAUACUGGGUGGCUUGAUUGCGGUCGAGGUUGGCGGAAUUCGUUGUGUAGCGGUGAAAUGCAUAGAUAUGACGAAGAACACCGAUUGCGUAGGCAGCUGACCAGACCGCAAAUGACGCUCAUGCACGAAAGUGCGGGGAUCGAACAGGAUUAGAUACCCUGGUAGUCCGCACAGUAAACGAUGAAUACUUGUUUUCGGCGAUAUAAUGUCGGAGGCAAAGCGAAAGCGAUAAGUAUUCCACCUGGGGAGUACGCCGGCAACGGUGAAACUCAAAUGAAUUGGCGGGG
rnacentral:rRNA from 1 species